CUCCCGCGCGCCUCCUAUCCUUCCACCCGCAUCACCGCCGCCACCACCCACCUCCUCGAACCGCGAUUGAACCCUAGCCGUCACUCCCCGCCAGCCAUCCUCCCUGUCCGUCCGCCGCCGCCACGCCAUCACCGCCACCUACUCGACGCGCUGUGGAGGAAGCGACCAUAGAGGGAGGGCGUCGCCGGCGUGUGCACGUGCUUCCACGGGUUCUCGCCGCGGUCGCCGGAGCCGUGGUCAACCUCGUCGGGGAGGAUGGGCGCCACAUCGCGGUCGCCGAAUCCGUUGGCUGCGAGUCCGGGCGCGUGGGAUCCGGUGGUUGUUAGGAGGCAGCGCUCAGAGGAGGUCGGACGCAAGAGGCCAGCGCGCGGAAGAGGCCGGGGCAUGGAGGCAGCGCACAGAGCUCAGUUGCGGCGACAAGCUGUGCUACUACCUUGGCUACAACCUCGUAGGUUCAUCUCCAAUGGCAAAUCCAUAGCUUUGUGCUAAAGGUUCAGGCAGAUGGAAGCAUUAGCAAUUCCCUCGACAUAGCUCUCGAUUGGGCCUGAACCACAACCAGCUAAGGGGACAUUUCUACAGAUCGUUUCUAUCUGAUUUCCGACAUUUUCAGUUUUUGGAACACCCAGAAUGGAUAUAUUGAGUGUCCCUCUUGCUGCUAAACACAAUACAGUUGAGAUUAUGUCCCUACUGAGAUUCUUAAAGAACAUGGUACACCGGAAUAGCUUCAGAUCAAAGUGAGCUGCACAUUUCAACACAUGUAACUCAGCCGAUGGACCUUCUUAUCAUGAAACACCAUGGCAAUCGAGCUGUUGUCCGUCCGUCCCUCCCUCCUCGCGCCCGGAACCCUAGCUCGCGGCCAUGGCGACCGUGCACGUCGCAGGCAGCGCAGGAUCUUCAGCACUACAAGUUGUGAUUUCUAUCACAUGUUUGUUUGAUACACAAGGUCGAUCGUCUAUCACCUGUUCCUAUUAGGCUUGAAAUACAACAAAGGAUAUGCGAUUAGUGCUUACUACUCUUGCAUGUAAAAAGUUGUGAUUUCUUUUUUUCAAGCCCCUUUCUUUUCUCUGGAUGCAUGUCCAUCCAUCAUGUACCCACCCACACAUGCAAAUGAAUUCGUUUGGUGGUUAUAUCUUGAGUGGCAUCUGAAUACACAAGCGUGACCAAUAGUAAGCGUGAGUGCUAGAGAAGUCCCCAUUUAGCAUGAUGGAGAGCAGGAUUGUCCCCAUUUAUAUUUGGUUCACACAGUUGUAGCUUCCUUUUUCUACGGGUUGCAAUGAUAUGGCUUGGUCGCGGCUUAGGUCAGACAGAGAUGAUCCAGUACUAAUUAAGCAUCAUUGAUAAAUAACAAGAGGGGCAUGUGAGGAGCUCUGUCUUGCUUGUAAUAGCUAAACUAUUGUUACCUACUUAAUGAGAUCCAUCGUCGAUCUGCUCUAUUGACUAAAUGUACCCUGCUUGCUUUGCUUUGACAAAAUGGCCUGUACUGAACUUGGUCAUCCUUGGCUACCCAGAUGGGAUGUCUAUAAGGAGAACUAUCCAGUCCAUAUCUGAAUCUAGGAACUAUGAACUAUUAUAUCGAUGAUGUCGAGUUAUGUCUACAUAGCCUGCUUUGCUAUGCUUCUAUAAGCUCAAUGUAUCCUUUGUACUGUUCUUCUUCUUCGACUAUCUGCUCAUUUUUAGAUAAAUUUUCAUGUGAGUACCAAUGUUAUAAAUCAGAAUUCUCUUUCUAAGGAUGCUUAUGUCGCAACGGUUCAUCAUAUUUGUCAAUAUAUUCUAUACAAUAUGUUAUGCAGUCUAAAACCCAUCUUAAAUUUCAUAUCUUAUGAACAGAUAAUAAUUUGCAGUAUGACACUGUACUGAACUAAUACCAUUGCUUUUUUUUAUAUUUACAAUGCUCCUAUGACUGUUCUGUAAAAAAAAUGCUCCUAUGACUGUAUUACCCAAUUGGAUAUAAUUGUACCCGGCAGCGGCGCUGCCGGGUGCGGCAAGCCGCAUUUCCUACUGUUUAAUUGAUUGACUGGUGUGCAUAUGAUUUCAAGGUAUCACUUUCAAGGUAGGAGACUGAUAUGAACUGCCAAUGUAAUUUCUUUUUAUUUGUGAUUCUUGCUGUUUAAUUGAUUGACUGGUGUGCAUAUGAUUUCUAAUAUAUGAAUUCCUUCGUCUUGUGUAUUGAAUAUAGGAUUUAGCUACAGAUAAUCAUUAAUCAACUAAUGUAAUUUCUUUGCCAAGUUGUAGUUAGAGUUAAAUGUGCCACUGGUUAUUUUAUAUCCUUUAUUUAUUCUUAUUCUUCUAAAUGAAAUAGGAGAUUUGUUGGUGCUCCAUUAACUAAAUAUCACUGACAAAAUGUUGUUCUCAUUUCAGUUGAGAGAAAAGUUGCAUACUUUGUGAACCAAUUGGAGAUUCAUGUUGUUUCCCUGGAUAUUGUGUAGUUAGAGUUGAUGUCACUGGUUAUUUUAUAUCAUUUGUUACUAUUCUUUAAUCGCCAAAUCAUAUAGGAGAUUUUGUUGGUGCCGAAUUAACCAAAUGUUACUGACAAAACUGACAAAAUGUUGUUCUUAUUUCAGUUUGAGCGCAAAUUGCAUGCUCUAUAAACUAACGGGAGAUUUCUGUUGUUACGAGAAUAUUGUAGGAAGGGUGGACUAUGAAGGGAAACACUGGUGUUCUAAGAUAGAUGUUCUGUGUUUGAGAUCUUGCCUUGGUAGCUGGAUGCCUUGGUGCAAGACAUUCAAGGUUGUUUGAUGCGUUCGUGCUCGUCGGCGGGACGGUGCAAGGCGCAACUCCGACGCGGUUCCUCGCCGGUUGGACGGCUUUCAGGCGCAACCCCGGCGCGCACUGAGUACUGCCUCGGCUACAGCCUCCCUCGGUGAGGUCCAUCUUCCUCCCGCUCCUCUGCUUCGGCUACUGUAUGGGACAUGGCCAUGGCUAUAUUGAUGUGGUGCUUGUCUGGUUGAUGCUCUAUGCCCUACUCAUGCAUCGGUUCCUACUUGAGCUCUGUACUUGUGGAUCCAUGCCAUUUUAGGGUUUGCAGGAUGCUGUUCAUGUUUAGUUGCUAUCAUAGGAGCUAAUGUGAUGCUCUGGUUUACAUGUGGAUGCCCCGGUCCUAUAGCUAUGCUCCUGGAUUUGCUAGAUUGAUCAGUGGCGUUCGUGCUAGGGCGAUGAUGAUUAAUCGUGGCUGAAAUAAGUGUGCCUUUGAGCAAUCGUGGCACCUGUGCGUAUCAGGUUGGAUCCUCCCUCUUGUCUCUAGAAUCCUUUUUGAUCCUAUGAUACUUGUUGUUGUCCUUGGAUGGUCAUUCUUGUUGAGUGAUAACCAGGGCAGCUCCACUGUAUGAACAGAUUGAUCUGGUGGUAAGAGAUGACGGGGGUAGGUUAUAUGAUCGAGGAAAGGUGAAUCUGAGCCCGCUAUGCAUCCCCUUGUUAGAGUCUGAACCGAAAUGGAGCUCUCCCGUGCGUUUCCCCUUGUUAGAGUCUGAACCGAAAUGGAGCUCUCCCGUGCGUUUGGAUUCUGGACCGUCGGAUCGAAAUCUCCUCGCGAUACAGGCCGUCGGAUCUCGAUCCAAAUCACUGUGGGUCGUUGGAAAUUUACCGAUCAACUUCGGCCGUCGGAUAAAAUUCCAAUGGCAACAGAAUGUAAAUACCGUGCCCCCAUGAGGGCAUCUAGGUCAUUUUGCUUGGGGGGGGGGGUAUAAAAUGACCGCGGCUUCCUGCGAUGAAAACCUAGCUGCCGCCUCCUCUCUCACUCGCUCUUGCAGCUGCCUCCCUCCCUCCCACGCAGGUGGUUCCCAUGGCGAUGGCGGCAGCGGCCACGGAGGAGGGCGGCAUAUCAGCGGCGCCGGCAAUGGUGUCCGUGCCGGCUAUGCAAUGAACCCUGAACCAUUUUUUAUUUGUAUUUAAAGGUGUUACUUAUUUAUGCUCAAGUGGUGUUCGUGCUAGGGCGAUGAUGAUUAAGUUGGCUGGAAUUAGUGUGCCUUUGAGCAAUCGAGGCACCACUGGGUAUCAAGUUGGAUCCUCCCUCUUGUCUCUAGAAUCCUUUUUGAUCCUGUGAUACUUGUUGUCCUUGGAUGGCCAUUCUUGUUGAGUGAUAACCAGGGCAGCUCUACUGUAUAAACAGAUCGAUCUGGUGAUAAGAGAUGAUGGGGGUAGGUUAUAUGAUCGAGGAAAGGCAAAUCUGAGCCCACUAUGCAAUAAAAACUGCAGCUACCUCCCCUGAUGUGUGUAAUAUUGAAGGAAAAAAAAAGAACUUUUCAUGUCUUGCUACUUUAAAAUUCCAAAAGGUUCAUUCUUCCUUUGCUGGUUACUUAACCAUGUUUUUUGUUUUGCUUUGGUUCUGGUUGAGAUACUAAAGGUUGUUUAUAUAUGAAAAGAACAGACACUUAUAGCUUUGUAUGCGUCAACUGUAGCUUAGGAUCCAGUGUUGUAGUGCUUUGCCUAAUUAAAAAAACUCUAAUCAAUAAUAGUCGUUCUUUCCUUAUGAUUUGACCAGACAAUAGUAUAAUAUUUUUUAUUUACGGCCUUAGAAUUGUAUUGCCACAAAAAACAGAUUUGGAAUCUCAAAGAAAGCAUGUUCUUAUGCUACAUAAUUGUUUCCUCUACUUAUAGUUAACCUCUCUAUUUUGUCGUCUCUAACAGCCAAGAUGAGUGCUCUAUGCUUACGGCUCAUGCUAACUGAACUGGUGAUGUUUCUUUCUUCACCUCGAUUGACGCCACAUGUUCCCCUUGGUUGCCGCGUCGUCCUCGUCUUCGGCUUGCAAGGGACUGGAUCUGGUGUGAUUGAUUCUUCCUCUCACAAGGUUAUGAUGGCCGACAAACAGCUCCAAGUUCACGGGUCGCCAGGCUCGCCGAGUGACGCUGGCUCCAACGGUGGUCUGUGAGCACUUGCCCAGGUCAAUUGAUAUUUGUGGUGGCCCUUCUCUGUUUUUACUUGGAAAAUUUUAGUUCGUAUGUGCCUCGGCGAUUUUUAAAAUCAAAGGAAAUGCUCUGUGCAGAAAAAUACAUAUCUAAUCUAGGGGGUAUAUGUAAUAGCAGUAGAUAAAUAAUAAUGUUUAGAUUCAGGCAGUAUACUACAAUCUGCCUUCUGGAGAGGGGCCUAUGCUUGCUAAGUUCUUUGUACGGUGCCUUCAGGGAGGCUGUGUGGUGCCGACGGCGAGGUCUUCAUAAUGGCAUCAAGUCACCCU